AAUUGGGGUUAAGUAACUUGCCCAAGGUCACACAACUAGGAAGUAUCUGUGGCCAGAUUUGACCCCAGGACCUCCUAUCUCUUGUGACAGAGGCUAGCACUAGAAGAAGUAUGUAAAAUUGAUCACCUCAACGGUGGUGGGGGGUGGGGAGGCGAGGAAUUUGGACUCUUGAGGAGAAGACUCUGGGGGAGAGGGAGCAGUGAGGCUUUCAGUCAGGAGAGGUGGAUUAAAACUUUUUCCUGAGGAUUAACCACUUUUGCUGCUGGUGACUGGAACUCUUUUUCCCAACAUUUCCCAAUUGAAGGGAGUUUCUGAAGAGAAACCUGAUCAGACUUUACCUCAGCUCCUGUUGCCCAGGGGUCGCUGCUACUCCAUGAUCUGCGCUAAUACCUGAAGGAAUCGUCCAGAAGAAGAUGCCAACACAGAAGACCAGGCUGGACGUGGCCUCCAGUUCUUCCGUCUCCGCGGAGUUUUCCAGGCCCCGCUGGUGCGGGGCGGUUGCAGCUCCAGGAAAUGGGAACGUUCUGUCUAGGCGGAGCGGGGGCCCAGACCCCUGCGUCACCUCUGAUUUUCUACGGACAGAUUCUGGAAGAGAGGGUGGGGAUUGAGAAAUUGUGAGGUCUAGGAAUCAUUUUCCACCCACUCCAGGAAAAAUCACCCAAGACAAACUGGCCAGUUCAGUGAUGACAGGCGCCACAGGAUCCAGAAACUCCUCAGAGGGAUGCCCGAGUGAACGCAGGCCAGGAAUUAUUGUUCGAGUUCAAGAUGCUCCUGAGUAUUGAUAGAUCAGAGAUAAAAUGGUGUGUCUGUGCGCGCGUGCCUGUAUAUCUGAAUGCACCAGUGCAUGUGUAUUUGUCACUUCUUUCCCCCCAAAAGCCUGACCAAUCCCCCCACCUCCACCACUUCCCCUAGCAGUUCCUCAUAUUAUCUGGGAUAUUGGAGGACUAGAAUCUCCUCGAGAAAUUAUUCUUUGAAUCCUAAUUCAACUAGGACAAAAGGGCAGAUAACCCCAAGGGGCAGAGGACCGCCUUCGAGCUCGGGCAAUUUUUACAAGUGGCUUCCACCCUCCACACUAUCCCCAUCCCCAAAACACAGCACUAAAACUCAACCGAAAAGUAAUAAUAGACUCAACAUAUAUAAUCAAGGUAAUAAGCCAUCAUAAGCAUAUGCACUGACAUGCAUGUAAGAAGAAUGCUUUCCAUUCCACUUCAUUCUGACUUAAAUCCCUCCCUUUCCGUCGCUCUCUUUUUCCCCUUCUUCCCCUCCCCCAUCCUUUCCCCUCCUCUUUCCCUUUCUCUUCCUAGCUUCUUUCUUUUAAAAGUUAAUUGCAACUUUUUCCUGUGCGCUCUGAUCUGGAUAAGCCAUAUCUCAUUAGAAAAAGAUUUAGCUUGAGCCAAAGCAGACCGGAGAAGGAAUCCCUAAUCAGCACAGUAUAUAUUUUUGUAUAAUUGCUCCUUGGCAUUCUCCUCCUUGCUCCCCCUCCAGCACCCCCGUUUCUCUGUACGCCGCUUCCCCGUUUCUUUUUGCUCAUUAAACUGAAAAGAAAGUCGA